rnacentral:tRNA from 1 species
AAUAAGAUAAGCUAAAUAAGCUAAUGGACUCAUAAUCCACCGAUAGGUUAAACCUUCUUAUUA